ensembl:lncRNA
UUCUUUCUGGAAGUAUGUGGGGAUGAUCUGGUAAAGCCAAGUUAGACAAAUGAUUCAGUCUCCAUGGCCCAAUUUACCUACCACACGUCCCUCAUGAAGCAGGUGUAACAGGAAAUGAUGUUAAAUACCUCAGGCUUUCACAGAAUUGAGUCUUCAAAGUCAGUAUCAAUAUUUUUAUUGUUUUGUUCAGGACAGAUUACAUCCUCUCUUACGGUCACUUCACUUGAAUAAGUUUGAAAUGAUCAAGACAGCAACGGGAAGAGAGGAAAGCAGGUUGCCACAUGGGGCUUGGAAGAACUGACUGUCUUGUUAGGGUGCGGUUGGAUAUCAGACCUCAGGUUGCACUCUAAGAUAAAACAGUGUUACUUGCUCACACAUUACACGAUUGACCUCUUACCAUGAGUGAGGACUGCUCUGGCCAGAAAGGGAAUCAGAAGAGUCCUGGUACAAAAAAAAGUCCAUCUAGAGCUUAGCAAAUGACUCACUGCACUGAAGAUGCUUUGGCUCUCAGCUCUGAGGAGGCCGAGCUCUUCUGCUGAGAAGUCUGUGACCCUUGCAAUUAGGUGGAGGUAGAGCUGCUGGGGAAUCAGAUAGAAGGAUUGAGAAACCCUGUGGAGAAAGCAAGAAAUUAUCUAUGUGUGCCAAAAAGAGGUGAUCAGAGAGCUGCAAUUAUGAAGUUAAUGGAGUAGUCAAAUACUACAACGUUGAAUGUACCCAAGAACCUGCAAACCUAUGCUGUCUGCCUAAGCAAUCUGCAUUAUGUGCUGGCAGCUAUGGCUCCUGUGGAAUUUAUGUUCUGAGCACUGAGGAAGAGCAUCUCCCCCUGAAGUCAUCUAGCACUGAUUUCACAUUCUGGCUAUCCUGUAUUUGCUGGAACAUGUCCUCUUGUGUUUCGAUUUCCACGAGAAUUGCAGGAAAGGAGUUCUUGUAAUAGCUGCUCUUGCUUAUGCCUGUAGGAGUGGGAAGGAGGACAUCAACUGGUAGCAUAAGCCCAGACACCUGAGUACCAUACCAUUCUCCUCUGAGAUACUGGUACUGAAUCUCAUGAAGAUAAAAUCCCAGAAGAUCCUGCUGAAAGAAAGAUGAGGUGCAGAGAUGUGCUAUGCUUCAUCGGAUUGAAUUUGGUUUGAAUUGUCUGCAGCAAGAAGGAGGUAAAAUAUUCUGUUUAUUAGAAUUAGAAGCACCGUAAUUAGAAUUAGAAG